rnacentral:lncRNA from 1 species
UGUACAUUAGGGUGGGGAACCAGCAUUCAGGUUCUGAUCAUGUUAAUCGAGAGAUUAUCAGCUCAAGAUCGUGUCAAGGCUGAAGAGUUUAUUACCAAGGUAUUGUUCAACCUAGUGUCUUGAUUUUUUUUGUUAUUACUAAACGAAACGUCUUAUUUUCUUCAGCUUAUCACUCGGCACAACGAGCUCGAAGGUGAGAAAAUUGAGAUUAGGAAAAGAAGAAUGGAACUAGAGAAACGUCGUCUCGAUAUUGCUCGCGAGCUUCAUCGCCUCGAAGCCCAUCCUUCUGAUUGGAUCGAGAUAGGCCUCCAGGAGUACGGAAACAUGCCGGGUUGCAUUCUGAGCAUCGUUGACCUCGCAGGCCAAGGAGCAGAGCUAUUCCGUAAUCCAAGACCCUU